rnacentral:lncRNA from 1 species
CAGAACCUCAAAGCUACUUUUAGCUUUUUUGUCUUCAAGGUUUGGUUUGGAGAUAUGGUCCAUUAUAGCCUAGGCUGUCCCUUCCUCCCGAUCUGAGGGCUACGGUUAUAGGCGUGUACCACCCUGGCAAGCUUAUCUUUUGGCUUCGUGAUGGUGCUUGAGCCAGCGGGGGUGGGGGUAGGAGGCCUGAGGGUGGAGGGCAGCUGCAGGCACAUCUAUCAGGCAAAAAGCAGCCUCUGUUCUGGGGACCAACCUCCAAGGGUUACCCAAGAGGCAGAAACAGAGAGAGGACAGCUUCAGGCAACUGAGGUCACCCAGCAGCUCCAGCAGCAGGAAGCCACAUGUGUUGGGCUCACCAGGGGCAGUAGACCCCAGAGGAGUUGCAGCUGUGACUGCAAGCACUGUCUGAUCAGAGAGUGGAAAUGUCCUAGCCCCAACUUGCAUUCCCCCCCCCCACGUUGAUGCUAAACCAGCAGGAAACCAACUCAAGAGCCUGGGCCACUGGUGUACCACAUCAUCAGGCCAGGAUGCGGAGGAGUCUGGGGCAAGGAGCAGGACAUGCCGAACAUUAGGACGGGACAGGGACAGAGCAGGAUGGGCCACAGAAUAGGAGCAGACACUGACACAGGAGGACAGGUCACACAGAGUAGGACAGGAUAGGACAGGACAUGGACAGAGCUGAACAGGGGCAAGGCCAAGCAGGGUGGAUGACUGUGUACCAGCACACACCGGGAGCAUCUGUGAUCAGGGUCUCUGGCUAAACUGGAACCUCACCAGCUUGGGCAGGCUGGCCGCCAGCAAGCCAGUGGGUUCACCUCCCCAAGGCUGAGAUUACAAACUCUUGCCUACGUCCUUGGCUUUUCGUGUGAGCUCUGGGGAUGGAACCCAGCUCACCAUGCCUGUGUGGCAGGUACUUUCCCA